UGUUCUGUGGGACAGAUGCCAGUUCAGUUCUCCUUUUCCCCAGCUGCAGUUAGUGUAAAAGCUGGUUUCAGAUGGCUUGCCUAGCUCUAGACUGACAUCAAAUAGCUCAGCUCUGCAGACCCUAUUGCCUUUCACAUUAUGUCCUAUUGGACCUGAUUGCUGUUCCACCAGACACUAAGAGGUCAUGAGCGAGACUGGAACUCACAGGCUCUGAAAUCAAAAGACAGGACUCUUCCAUAUCAGCUCUUUUUGAGAAGCAAAUGCCCAGCCACUGCCUCUGCAUCAGGUAUAAUAAGGUGGAAAGCUGGUCUGUGGUUCAACAUAGCUUCUGCGAGGCUACAGGGCAGAGUACGUGACGGAUUAAUUUCUCUUUCACAAGACUGCCUGUGCCGAAAUAAGAAACUGUUAUUCCCAGGGGCUGGGCUUGCUGAAGUUAAAGACAUGCCUCCUUUAUCAAACUGCUUUCUGUGAUUCCUGCACGUUUC